UACGAAGGGGGCUAGCGUUGCUCGGAAUCACUGGGCGUAAAGGGUGCGUAGGCGGGUCUUUAAGUCAGGGGUGAAAUCCUGGAGCUCAACUCCAGAACUGCCUUUGAUACUGAAGAUCUUGAGUUCGGGAGAGGUGAGUGGAACUGCGAGUGUAGAGGUGAAAUUCGUAGAUAUUCGCAAGAACACCGGUGGCGAAGGCGGCAUCCUGGACCAACACUGACACUGAGGAGCGAAAGCUAGGGGAGCAAACGGG
rnacentral:rRNA from 1 species